rnacentral:rRNA from 1 species
AACGCGAAGAACCUUACCAAGGUUUGACAUGCAGGGAAAAGCCGUAGAGAUAUGGUGUCCGUAAGGGUCCUGCACAGGUGGUGCAUGGCUGUCGUCAGCUCGUGUCGUGAGAUGUUGGGUUAAGUCCCGCAACGAGCGCAACCCUCGUCCCAUGUUGCCAGCGUGAAAGACGGGGACUCAUGGGAGACUGCCGGUGACAAAUCGGAGGAAGGUGGGGAUGACGUCAAGUCAGCAUGACCUUUAUGUCUAGGGCUACACACGUGCUACAUUGGCCGGUACAAAGGGCUGCAAGCCCGCGAGGGGGAGCGAAUCCCAAAAAGCCGGUCCCGGUUCGGAUUGGAGGCUGAAACUCGCCUCCAUGAAGUCGGAGUUGCUAGUAAUCGCGAAUCAGCAACGUCGCGGUGAAUACGUUCCCGGGCCUUGUACACACCGCGCAUA